GUAAGUCUCCUUGGGAGGAACCAAAAACCCAGAUGAAUGCAUGCUCUGCUUGGGAAGGUCAUGAAGGACACCUAAGACAGGAAAUGCUCUGUUUGGGAAGGUCAUGAAGGACACCCCAGACCGGAAACUCUGGACAGGACCCUGACAGCCUGAGCACCGAGUGGGGCCCAGGAAACUGGAAUCCAGACUUAACGCCAAUCACUUGUUCCAGCAAACUGAGCCAUCUCUAUCAGGGUAACCCACAAAUGCAGUUUUAGGAUUGCACUGGAUAACAAACUGUCUGUAGAGGGUAUGAAAUCAGACCACAAUUUCACAAUCUCAUCCAGCCCUUUAUGUGUAUUUGAAGAGUCCUCAUCUUAAGAUGUGACAAAGUAGCACGUGCAGAAGAAUGAAAGUAUGUUCCUUUCUUUUCUCAAAGGAUGCCUUCAAAAGGAUGAAGCUUGAGAGAAAUGGGGAUUUAGCAUGCCUUCUGCACAUAAGCAUCAGCAUCUGGAUUUCCCUGGGUCAGAAGACUAGAGGAAGCUAUGCUCUUCCUUCCCUGAUGAUUCAGUAGUCUCUGCUCUGACCGAUGAGGAGAUGAGUCAGCAUAAAAGGUUGGAUGGCACAUUGGGAAUUCAGUUAGAAAUUUCACUGCUCUAUCAAUGACUGGAGAAGGGCCUGUACAUCAGCUUUCUCAUGUGCCUGGAAGCCCUCUGGAUCUGGAGUUUUAUUUGGAGGAUGUUUGAAAUUACUCUUCAGCUUCUCUUAAAGAUGGCAGGUUAUAAAGUUUUACACAUCUGCUUUAGUCAGUUUGAUCCCUUACAUUUCCCCCGAAAUUUAACCAUUUCACAACACAAUUCAAAUCAAUCGAGGUAAACUUGUUUGUGAUAUUGUCCUGGCAGCUCGAUAGCUACAGGCUAGCGCUCUCUCUCUCUCUCUCUCUCUCUCUCUCUCUCUCUCUCUCUCUCUCUCUCUCUCUCUCUCUCCCUUAGUGUUUCUGUUCUUGCUACCUGUGCUCCCCCUCUUCUUCUCUAGCUCCAUCCCAAUGAGUGUUGAUGCCAACAAAGGCCCCUUUCAAAAGAAAUAGGCAUCCCUAGCUAUACUAUUUCAGGCAAUUAUUGUCUUGUUUUAAUUUCUUUAUUGUUUCAGAGUCUUACUCUGCAGCCCUGGGUAACUGGGCGUUCACUAUAAACUGGGCUAGCCUAGAACUUGCCUCUGCUUCCCAAGUCCUGAGAUUAAACACAUGCACCACCACUCCUGGCCUGUUUUUUUAAAUUUUUAAAAUGCCUCCAGCUCUAUGUUCGUUGCUUCUCCAUCCAAAAUUACUUGGGCGUAAACUGUUAUCCAAUUCUGAGUGUUCAGCUGAAAUGUCUAGUUUGUAGUUUUUGGAAACCUGCUUCAUGGGGGCUUAAUGCUAUAAAUUUCUAAGUGUGGCUUUAGUUGCAUCCCAUAUAGAAAUGUACUUAUUUAUUUUCUAAUUUUGGAAUUCUUUUUCUCUGAUAUAUGAGUUAUCCAUAACUACAUUUUUUCUAAACUUCCAGACAUAUGGGAACUUUGCAUUAUAUUUUGGCAUUGCUUUCUAGCUUAAUUGUACCAUAGUAAAUAUAAUUUAUAUGUAUAAAUUAUAUAUAUAAAUUAUAUAUAAAAAUUAUAUAUAUAUAUGCACACACAUACAUCAAGACGUCUGUCUUAAACUCUCCAAGGCUUGCUGGGGAAAACUGAAUUAAUUUCCCAACAUGCCCCACUCUUUGUAUUUCCUUCUGCAGUAGAAUUGGCUAUAAUCAUCCUUCCUGUCCCGCUGAUGUCAUUUUGAAAUCACAAUGUCUGGUUUAUCCAAUAAAUUGCAAGUAGAGAGAGUUCAGAACUCCCGCUGUCCACCCUUGUCCCAGACAGAGACAGCUUUGUCAUUCUAAAUCAAAUCAUGGAAUGAUGAACAUGUGUCGAUGGAUCUCAGUGGCCCCUGGGCUCAUGUCAUUAGAGCAUAGUUCAGACUCUGCAGUGGGUGCUGGGGACUGAACUCAGGUCCUCUGAAAGAGCACCAAACUCUCUUAACCACUGAUUCAUCUCUCCAGCCACUUGGAUAUUUUUUUAAUCCAUAUAAAACUGUCAAAAGCCAGGUGGUGGUGGCACAUGUCUUUAAUCCCAUCACUCAGGAGGCAGAGGCAGGCAGAUCUCUGUGAGUUUGAGGCCAGCCUGGUCUACAGAGCAAGUGCCAGGAUAGGCUCCAAAGCUACAGAGAAACCCUGUCUAGAAAAAAAAAAACUGUCAAUCAGCCCAAUUUAUUUCUCUUUCAUUUCCUCUGCCCCCAUUUUAUUUUUAUCAAGUUCCAAAUUCCAAAUUCCACUUAUACUUGUUGGUAUAAGUGCUACUUCAUAAUCUCCUUUACAAUUUCCCUUACCUUUUACCUUUCUGUGCUGUGGUCUGGAGUUAAUUGUUUUUUUAUUAUUCCCUGCUGACUUGAGUCUUCUCAAAACCACCACCUCAUAAGUCUUAAUGUUUUAUUUAUUACAAGUUACCUGUCAUGACAACCCCAAUAUUUGGAACCCCUAAGUAGUCUCAUUUUUUCCUUUGGCUUUCAUGCUCAGGAGACAUGAUAUACUGCAUGUUUCAACCAAAUAGAUUAAUCCUGUUUGUAUUGUUUUUACAAAAUUGCAUGGAGAAAUAAAUCCAGGUCCUCGUGGAUGUUUGCUGUUUGGCUUCUAGGGUACCCUGAGACUCUGGGACCCUGAGGUUUAAUGUUAAUCAGUCACUUGAAGUGUCAUUUCCACAAAGGAUUUCUCUUCACUUCUAGCCCUAAAGGGCCUCAACUCAAAUCUCAAGCUGCUCAUAGCAUCUUUCUUCAUAUCAGAUCCUGGAUGACAGUCUGUCCUGCCCAGUGCCAAGUUUGUCAAGAGCAGCACCAAGGAUCUUCCUGUUCCAUUAUCUUCUUUAUGAGUUCUCAUUUAUCCUGUGGAGAAAAAAAAAAUAAUGGCUGAGCCAAUGGGUUAAUAAAAUGCCUUAGGCAGUCAACUUAAAAGCAGCAUUUAUUUGCAUUCUCAUCUCAGAGGCUUCAUUCCACAUUGCUUAGUCCUGUUUUAG
ensembl:lncRNA